GAACCUGGAGCCUGCUUCGGAUUCUGUGUCUCCCUCUCUCUCUACCCCUCCCCCACCAUUCAUGCUCUGUCUCUCUCUCUCUCAAAAAUGAAUAAACAUUAAAAAAAAAAAUACUUAAUAGAACCAGAGGAAAAAUAACACACUUCUGUGGGUCCCAGAUGCUGGGGUUGGUUUGGGGGAAUCACCAAGUCAAACAGUGGGGACACACACUGUGGCUCUGGAGCAGCUAGGAGGCAUAGGGGGUGUCUGGUCUGGCCCACCCAGCACAUGGUGGCAGGAGGGGGCAUGACUCUCAUGGGCCACAGCAUCCCAAAGCUGCAAAUGCUUUUCACAACAAGUUGAUUGGGGGGGGGGGGGACAUGUACAUGUAAAUAACUCGAGAAAAUCCAAAACUACUAUCCUAGGACCCCACCCUCCCCUUUCCAAAAGGUCCUUGUUUCAAACCCACAAUCAGCACAAGGUAGGGCUUACGGAGCGAGGUUCCUGGUUGGCUCCCUGACCUGCCACUUGCCAGCUGGGUGAGAUGCGGGGCAGCUUACUCCCCUCUGGGCCUCCACAAAGAGCCACAGUGACGGGACUAUCCUCACGCAGUUGCUAGAAUUGUCCAUGAGGUGGAACCAGAGGAAAUGACUGGGGAAAAAACCCCAAGAGUUGAAGAGCAGCAGGGAAAGCAUUCGGCGUGUGAGCCCCUCCCUGUGGCGCCACCACAAGGGUGCAGCCUCCGGAAUCACUGCUGCCAACAGCUGCUGUCCUUCUGAGGUACGACCUCCUGCAGUCCCCCCAAAAGGUCUAGCCUCAGCCCUCCCUACCGUGUCCUUCACACUGAAGCCCCACCCUUCACACCCAGGCCCUGUGCUUGGCUCGCUGCCCAACCCACAGUAGCCCCCGACACGACACAACCGAAACACUACAAAUAGACAAUCAGCUCAGGAAGAUGACACAGAUGUGGGGACGAUGGUGAUGAUGGUUAUAUGACGGUGUGAAUAUACUUAAUGCCACUGGACAGGAUGCUCACUUUAAGAUGGUUAAGAUCGUCAAGUUUACGUUAGGUUUAUUUUAUCACAAAAAAAAAAAAAAAAACGGGUGACG